GUGGGGAAUUGUUCGCAAUGGACGCAAGUCUGACGACGCAACGCCGCGUGGAGGAUGAAGGUCUUCGGAUUGUAAACUCCUGUUGACCGGGACGAAUUCCUUCGGAGCUAACACCUCUGGAGGGUGACGGUACCGGUUGAGGAAGCCCCGGCUAACUCUGUGCCAGCAGCCGCGGUAAUACAGAGGGGGCAAGCGUUGUUCGGAAUUACUGGGCGUAAAGGGCGCGUAGGCGGCCGACUGAGUCAGACGUGAAAUCCCCAGGCUCAACCUGGGAACUGCGUCUGAGACUGGUUGGCUCGAGUUCGGGAGAGGGAUGUGGAAUUCCAGGUGUAGCGGUGAAAUGCGUAGAUAUCUGGAGGAACACCGGUGGCGAAGGCGGCAUCCUGGACCGACACUGACGCUGAGGCGCGAAAGCCAGGGGAGCAAACGGGAUUAGAAACCCGUGUAGUCC
rnacentral:rRNA from 1 species